GCCCACUGGUUGUACAUAUAUGUUAGAAGUGUUUUUUGUUCGCUUCCGUGUUAUUGUUGCAACAAAUUCCAAAUUAAUGUUUGAUUACUAUGCCAGAUUAAUUUUAUCGAUGUUACACCAUUUCUUUGUUCUUAAUUUCAAAUUGUGGUGUGAGCGUCGGGUUGCAAAGGUUCCACUUAGACAAGUUCCUUUGGUGAUAGUAUUGUUGUUGUUGUGCAUAAACUGAGUCUAUAAAAGAACAGACAGG
rnacentral:lncRNA from 1 species